rnacentral:rRNA from 1 species
AUUGAACGCUGGCGGCAUGCCUUACACAUGCAAGUCGAACGGCAGCACGGGGCAACCUGGUGGCGGGUGGCGAACGGGUGAGUAAUGCAUCGGAACGUGCCAUUGAGUGGGGGAUAACGUAGCGAAAGUUGCGCUAAUACCGCAUAUUCUGUGAGCAGGAAAGCAGGGGACCGCAAGGCCUUGCGCUCUUUGAGCGGCCGAUGUCAGAUUAGCUAGUUGGUGAGGUAACGGCUUACCAAGGCGACGAUCUGUAGCGGGUCUGAGAGGAUGAUCCGCCACACUGGAACUGAGACACGGUCCAGACUCCUACGGGAGGCAGCAGUGGGGAAUUUUGGACAAUGGGCGCAAGCCUGAUCCAGCCAUGCCGCGUGAGUGAAGAAGGCCUUC